rnacentral:lncRNA from 1 species
CCUAGGCUCAAACCAUGUCACCAUGCAAGCUUGCCCAGGUGGAAAGCAGCACUAAACUUGGGCAAUAGUGUUUUCUGUGUGGAUGGGAGAGGAGCUAGGGAAAAUACCCGGGCAAGAACUUGGGCUAACUCUGCUAUGAAGGCAUACCCUAUAGCAAUAUGUUCUGCACAGGGAUACGCUUUACAUCAGCCCAGAAACUGGUGCAGAUGACCAAGGCUGAGCUGUGAGCACAUGACAUGUCUGUUCUGGAGUCUGCAUUUUAAGCAAAUGGCAGCUGAAGGUGCUGACCACCUUGCAAAAAUCAUCCCUCGGUUCAUCGAACUGUUCAACCUCAAGGGUUAAGGUAGAGUGGAGAAAGCACUCUUAAGGGACUUGAGAGACCUGGGCUCUAUUCCUAUUUCUUCCACUGGCCUACUGAGUAACCCGGGCAAAUCAUGUGCCUGCUCUGUGCCUCAGUUUCCCCAUCAGUAGAAUGGGGAUAAAUAUACUGCACUCCUUUUGUACAUCCCUUUGAUGUGUACUCAUGAGAAGUGCAGUAGAAGAGCUGGGUGGUGGUGUUUUUCUUCUGACAAGUAGUAUUGAUGAUUCGCCCUUGACUUUUAAAAUAUUCUUUCUAGUUGUGUCUAUUUACUGCAAAACAUCGGGGGCCUAAAAUGUUUUCUGUUCUUUUCAGUUUCUCUAACAUGUAUAUUUAAAUCCUCCUCUUUUAGUCUCUUAUGUAUUCUUCUGUUAAUGAGACAUGCAGGUGAGUUGAGUUAAAAAGUUAUUCGCUGCUCGGUGUUUUCACACUUGCAAGCUCUCCAGGUAAUGCUCUUCAAAAUGCCAAAAUGUAUUUUCUUUGGUCCAUUUAUGACUAAUCACACUGAUCUCUUUCCGACGGUCUGCUAGGGAUAAUAGAGCAUGCUGAGUUCUUCAGGAGGAGUGCUUUUUCAGAAGAAGUUAUUACAAUAGCAGUCCCUGUAAUGCGUGCUGAGGCUUUGCAAUAUUUAGACCCAUGAAGUACCUUUGCCAGCAGAAACUCCACCAUUGGUAUUCUUUGUACAGACUCUCUAAGAAGAAUGAAGCCUUGACUGGAAAUAUGCUGAAAAGCUGCUGUUAUAAAUUUGACAUAAUAUGCAUGAUGAGGAUGGAUAGAUCAUUGUUCUCAAGGUCUGGCAAAUAAAAGCAAUGUUGUGGAGCUAGAAAUACAGGGAAAAAGAAACAUUGUUCUACAGGAUAUGUUUCAAGUAGGAACCAAGUCUGAAACAGCCGUGUAUUUUAUUUGUGAUUACAUUGAAUAAUAAGGAAGGCUUGCAUAGAAAACUUCUUGUACCUUGGAAAACACAUAGAUUUUUGUUCUAGUGAACUUCUAAGAAAGUUUCUAAGGAAGAAACAUCAGCAUGGAAUUUUUGCUAUGUUUUGAUAUUCAAAAUAUUUAUUAAAAGAUAUUUAAGAAAGAAGCGUAGAAAGCCCAACCAUUGUAAUGAUUAAACAGCUCUGAAGCAAAGUUCAGUAAUAAACCUACAGGAAGAAUAGGCA